rnacentral:lncRNA from 1 species
CUGGGAUUUUGUUUUCUUCAGAGGGAGGUUCUGAUGAAGGGGGAGACUGUGACGUUUGCUGACCAUCAGUUUGUACCUGGGACUGUGUUCCAGCCUCACUGUUCUCUUGCUGGUUAUUUUUAUCACUUGAAUUUUCAGCAGGCAUCUGGUCCUGAGUUUCCAAUUCAGUCUCAACACCGACAUCCUCACUAUCUUCACUUUUAACUGGUUCUACCAUGGAUGCAGUGGACACGCUGAAAAUGCCAUGAGUAUUGACACGGACUUUCACUUUAACUUUAGACUUCUCUCCAUCUUUCUGAGCUGCCACAUUCUGGAUAAUAUACCUACCAAUUUUUGACUCUGGAUACGGG